AUUCUACUCCCUCCGUUCCACAAUACAUGCCUUCUAUUUGUCAAAAUAUAGAUGUAUCUAGACAUGUUUUAGUAUAUAGGUACAUCCAUUUUUGGACAAAUGGAAGUCAAGUAUUUUGGAAUAGAGGGAGUACACA
rnacentral:pre_miRNA from 1 species